GAGUUUGAUCGUGGCUCAGAUUGAACGCUGGCGGCAUGCCUUACACAUGCAAGUCGAACGGCAGCAUGAUCUAGCUUGCUAGAUUGAUGGCGAGUGGCGAACGGGUGAGUAAUACAUCGGAACGUGCCCUGUAGUGGGGGAUAACUAGUCGAAAGAUUAGCUAAUACCGCAUACGACCUGAGGGUGAAAGUGGGGGACCGCAAGGCCUCAUGCUAUAGGAGCGGCCGACGUCUGAUUAGCUAGUUGGUGGGGUAAAGGCCCACCAAGGCGACGAUCAGUAGCUGGUCUGAGAGGACGAUCAGCCACACUGGGACUGAGACACGGCCCAGACUCCUACGGGAGGCAGCAGUGGGGAAUUUUGGACAAUGGGCGAAAGCCUGAUCCAGCAAUGCCGCGUGUGUGAAGAAGGCCUCGGUUGUAAGU
rnacentral:rRNA from 1 species